rnacentral:rRNA from 1 species
UGAAGUCGGAAUUGCUAGUAAUCGCGGAUCGGCAUGCCGCGGUGAAUACGUUCCCGGGCCUUGUACACACCGCCCGUCACACCAUGGGAGCCGGUAAUACCCGAAGUCAGUAGUCCAACCACGUGAGGACGCUGCCGAAGGUAGGAUUGGCGACUGGGGUGAAGUCGUAACAAGGUAGC